rnacentral:rRNA from 1 species
CGCACAUUGCGCUUCCGGGAUUUUUCCCGGGAGCAUGCUUGUCUGAGUGUCAGC